GCAAGUCGAGGGGUAACAGAUGAAGAGCUUGCUCAGAUUGCUGACGAACGGCGCACGGGAGAGUAACACGUAUGCAACCUACCUUUUACAUAGGGAUAGACCAGAGAAAUAUGGAUUAAUACCUCAUAAUAUUUUUAACUCGCAUGAGUUUUAAAUUAAAACUUCGGUGGUAAAAGAUGGGCAUGCGUUCUAUUAGUUUGUUGGUGAGGUAACGGCUUACCAAGACUACGAUAGAUAGGGGUUCUGAGAGGAUAAUC
rnacentral:rRNA from 1 species